rnacentral:rRNA from 1 species
UACGUAGGGGGCAAGCGUUGUCCGGAAUCAUUGGGCGUAAAGAGCGUGUAGGCGGUCCGGUAAGUCGGCUGUGAAAGUCCAGGGCUCAACCCUGGGAUGCCGGUCGAUACUGCCGGACUAGAGUUCGGAAGAGGCGAGUGGAAUUCCCGGUGUAGCGGUGAAAUGCGUAGAGAUCGGAAAGAACACCAACGGCGAAAGCACUCUGCUGGGCCGACACUGACACUGAGAGACGAAAGCUAGGGGAGCGAAUGGG